CCUACGGGAGGCAGCAGUGAGGAAUAUUGGUCAAUGGGCGUAAGCCUGAACCAGCCAAGUCGCGUGAGGGAUGAAGGUUCAAUGGAUCGUAAACCUCUUUUAUAAGGGAAUAAAGUGUGGGACGUGUCCUAUUUUGUAUGUACCUUAUGAAUAAGGAUCGGCUAACUCCGUGCCAGCAGCCGCGGUAAUACGGAGGAUCCGAGCGUUAUCCGGACUUAUUGGGGUUAAAGGGUGCGUAGGCGGCCUUAUAAGUCAGCGGUGAAAGUCUGUGGCUUAACCAUAGAAUUGCCGUUGAAACUGGGGAGCUUGAGUAUGUGUGAGGCAGGCGGAAUGCGUGGUGUAGCGGUGAAAUGCUUAGAUAUCACGCAGAACCCCGAUUGCGAAGGCAGCCUGCCAAGCCAUGACUGACGCUAAUGCACGAAAGCGUGGGGAUCAAACAGGAUUAGAUACCCCAGUAGUC
rnacentral:rRNA from 1 species